UGACACACCCCGUCCCGAAGGAGGGCGUGCUGGCCGUCACGUGAGAGUGACGUAACCAUUUACACAGUUCGGAAGCUUUAAAAAAAUUUCCAAUUACUAAGAUAACACACCCGAGGGUGAGUCCUACUUUUGUGAAUUCUGUCAGAACACCGUUGGAUUCCUCGUGGCCACCAAAGCUCUGCUAACUUGAACCUGGAGGGGCGCAAAACAAAAUUGAGUGGGUCAGUAAAACAAAGUUUUUCGAAAACUUUUCAUUUAAAACAUUUCUAACCCCUCACCGUAAAACCUGUAUACUUUCUCAGAAAAUAGCAUAUAUAUAUAAACAGAUAUAUAAGCAAAACUCUCAAAUCUCAAACCUUUAACACUUUUCAGAAAUUAUAUAUAUAUAUAUAUAUAUAUAUAUAUAUAUAUAUAUAUAUAUAUAUAACCAUAUGAAAUCUCAAAGCUUGAAUCCCAAAUCUUUAACAUUUUUCAAGAAAAACAUGCCAUGCCAUAAAUCAAAAUAUAUAAAUCAGGUGAAAUAAGGAAUCAAUCGGAGACCCUGCAGUUGGUCCUAUACGAUUAAUUCAAUAGCUCAAUAUCUCACUAAGCCGGAGUCACCACAGUGACCUAUACGGCCCUACUCUGCACAUCACUCGGAACUACGUAAGGUAGUCUAUACGAUGAAAGGUGUAAAAUACGCUCUAGUGCUUCUCUCAUCAUAUCAUCAGCGCGCAUAUCUAAGGUCACCCACCAGUCGGAACCCCUCUAAUGGUCUGUACGACUGGCAUGUCGGAACCCUUACAUGGUCUGUACGACAUCCACCUACUUGGAUCCAAGGCGAGCGUGCGGUGUGGUGAAUAAUAUAAGCACUAACACCUAGGGUGCAGAUUAUGAGCUCAAACAUCUCAACAACAACAAUUCAAUGAAUAAACGAACUCACCUGACUUACCUGUGCCUCCACAGCACCAUGCAACAUGUAUGCAUCAUAUAUCAAUCAUAUAACUCAUAUGAAAUUCACAUUUUCCAAAUAAUUCUAUGCAUGGCAUUUUCAAAACAUAAUUUCGCAUAAAAGCAUUUUUCUGGGAAAAACAAUAGUAUAUAGGUAAUACGAAAACAAAACUGCCCACUCACCUGGAGUUCGCCCACAACUCCCUAGCACCGUACAUCAAGGCGUCAUGACGAUUAGCGCCUAGAACAACAAUCAAAUCCAACCUCAGAAAUUCUGCCGAUAGAAUACAUAACUUAUAUAAGACACGUCACUACGUAGUUCGAUCCGGAUGAUCUGCAAUUCAGAUUUCAAAUCCGUAACUUCCAGAGGUCCACAAUAUACCUCUAGGACAACAUCCUAAAAUUUCAUUACCAUCCAACGGUCGGAUCUCCGUCAAUUUCCAAAACUAAGUGACGGUUAACAUUCUAUUUUAUGAACUUACAACUUCAAUUCCGGAAGAUCCGUAAAUCGGAUUCCCAAUCCGUAAGUUCCUAUAAUCCUCAAAUAUUACGUAUUACAACGUAUCAAAGUUUUGAUGACGAUCCAACGGUCGGAUCGUCAAUUCACAUUUUCACCUAACCACGAAAUCGUAACCAACUUAGGUUCAAUUAUUCAAUUUACGUCCAUCAAUUAUCAAAACAGAACCUAGAACCUUAAUCACAAGCUAAUAAUGACAUUGGCGGGCCAUUGGCCACGCGCCGCCGCGCGGGCCGCCGCGGGUGGCGGUUGGCCGCCCCCGGCUCGCCGGAAAAUUCAACUAUUUCCAAAAAUUACCAAAAUUUUCAGAUUUGAAGAUCUCAAUGAGUAGAACAACUUUCAUACCUGAGACCAAUGCCAAUUUGGCCUGGAAGUGCUUCAAUUUCACCAAAACCGUGAAGAACCCUAGAAUUUGGGUGUUUCCAAUUCGACCUUCAAACUUGUUCCAACGCCUCAAUUACCUCUUGGGCUUUGUUCUAGGUCCUAAAGGAAUGCUAAAGGUGUUAGUAAUUGAAAGAAAACAUUUCAAAAUUUGGAGAAUUUAAACAAAAGGGUCGCGGCACCCGUAGGGGUGUUCUUCGCGAAAUCACAACGAAAUUCAAUGAUUCUUGGGGUGAAACGUGAAGAGGGAAGGCCUAGAUGAUGAUUAGGAGUGGUACCUUGACUCAAUUCGUCGGAAAAUUGGACGAAAACGGCGAAAACCCGCCGAUUUGGAAGCUUGGGUCGCGCGGGUCAAGGGUGACCCAUUCCUCCUGUUCCCCCGUGCACCACUCUCCCUCCUUUCCCUCCUUUCCGUCCCCUGAUUGGUCAGCUUCUUCCUCUCCCUUCUUCUGGUUCACUCUCAUCUCUCUUCUUCUCCGAUUGGGCAUUUCUGCCCAGUCUCUUCUUCUUUUCUGUUUUUCUGUUUCUUCUUCUCAUACACAUACACACACCAAAAACCUUUCCCUCAUCCCAGCCAUCCAUUUCAUUCAUCAAUAAAUCUGGGCCGUCCAAUUUCAUAAAAGAAUUUCUAUAUUUUACUAAAAUUAUAAUUCCUUAAAAUUCCAAAUUUCAAACGUUAAUAACUUCUUCGAUAUAACUCCAAAUCACGAACCGUCUGCGCCCACCGCGUCCGUAACGACGAGUACUACGACGAGGAUAUGUCAAGAAAACAAAUCUUAGAUGGCACGACACAACGAUUAACCUCGAAUGAUGUGCGUGCCUCAAAGGGCAUUUUUGUAAUAUCCUUUAUUAAAACUUUAAAAAUUCUUAAAAUUAGGGACGGGCUGUCACAAUCUACCCACCUUACAGAAAUUUCGUCCUCGAAAUUUACACAAUCUUUACAAUCCAUCAAUAUCCAUGAAACAGCCCGAAACACAUCUCUCUCAUUCGAUUCUUUGACUUCUAAGUAGCUUCUUCCACUGAAAGAUUCCUGCAUAAACUUUCACCAAACUCAUAGUCUUAUUUCUCAGUACAUCAUCUUUCUAAUACAAGAUAGGCACUGGCUCCUCAUCAUACGUCAAAUCCAUAUUGACUUCCAAGGUUGAGAAGGUAUCACUCGUGAAGGAUAUGAGGUUUAAUGUCGAAGUAUCGAAACAUAAAACAUAUCAUGCCCUUUCAUCGGCUCUGGAGGCAACUCAGCCUGUACGUAACUUCACUGACUCGUUCGAUGAUCACAGAUGGUCUGACGUAUCUAGGACUUACUUGUUUUUCUUUUUAAAACAAAUCAUACCUUUCCAAGGUGAUAAUUUCAAAAUCAUUCGAUCACCUACAUAUACAUCCGGUCAGUGGCAUGUUUGUCUGCUAAGCUCUUCAGCCGAUCCUGGCCCACUUCCAGGUUAGACUUAAUUACUUGAAUAUUCCGAAUAGUCUCAUCCACUAACUCAGGGCCUUGAAUACUAUCCGUCCCCAAUUCUAACAAUUUCGAAACACAAGACAUAGCUUUCCACGGCCUUAUGGCGUUACUCUAGGGAACAAACUGAAGGGACCAACAUACCCAAGAAGUUUAACAGAUCCCAAAUCUCUUUUUCCAUAAAACAAACAAAUAAAUGUUGCGCUUGUCUGGAAAAGUUGGUGUUCUCAUACUGAAGUAACAUACGCUGACGUCACCAGUCGAUCAAUUAUUAUUCAAAUUCCAACCUAACUAUUUUGUAUACGAGGAAGCUUGUCCACGAAAUCCAUAGUAAUAUUCUCCCAUUUCCGCCGUGGAAUGGGAAAUGACUACAUUAAUCCAAAAGACUUAUUUCUUUCUGCUUUAACCUGAUGACUGAUGAUACGCCUACUAACAUACUUCGCCAUUCCUCUUUUCAUACCCGUCAAUAGUACAUGAACGAAUGGUAUGAUAAAUCUUAGUACUUUUUGGGAUGCAUUGUAGAAGUGGAAAUAAUGUACAUCGUCAAAAUUGCUUUCUUUAAUUCCACACCAUUAGGCAUAAACACUUUGUUCUUUUGCAUAGGCUUGCCAUCUGAUUCUCUAACUCUAAGGUCCUUCUUUUUCCCGUUAUUCCUUGCUUUAAAAUAAAUUCUUGAAUUUCUUCGUCAAACGCUCGAGUAUCGAGUACGAUCUACCAAAUGGGUCCAACUUAGAAAUUAGCAAGUAAGGCUUCUUCUCGAUUUUUGAUACUCAACUUUACUCCAGUAGAUUUCAAAUCCACAAGAAGAUGAACAUAGCAAGCGUACCAAGCAUUAAUUUCUCACUGGGGUCUUCCUACUAAAAUGCAUCAGCCACAACAUUAGCUUGACCACCCUCGUCACACAAUCAUAGUCACUAAGCAACUCAUUCCACCUUUGUUGCCUAAGAUUAAGAUACCUCUGAAUAAACAGAUAUUGGGUACUCUUUUGAUUUGUAACAAUCAUGCACUUUUCUUCCCAUAAAGACAAUGUCUCCAAAUCUUCAAAGCAAAGAUGAUAGCUGCUAAUUCCAAAUUAUAAUUAGGGUAAUUCAUCUUAUGAGAUCCCAAUGGCCAUGAAGCAUAGGCAAUCAUCCUACCAUGUUGCAUCAACACGCAUCCAAGUACAUUCAAAGAAGUAUUAUUAUAGACCACAUAAUUACCACUAUCGUCUGGGAGUGCGAAAACAGAUGCAUGAGUGAGGGAAUACUUUACUUGCUGAAGCUCUACUCACAAUUUUUUUUAUCCCACUCAAACUUAACCUCUUUUCUCAUCAAUCUCGCCAAGGGCGAAGCAAUAAUUAAAAUCUUGGACGAACUAUCGACAAUAUCCUGCUAAUCCGAGAAAACUCUGAACCUCAGUCACAGUUCGCAAUUGUUCCAAAUUCUCAAUCGUUGCUACUCUUUUAAGAAUCCAUUUGAAUACCUUAAGUAGAUAUAAUUAAUUUAUCCAACAUUAGCAUUUGCUAAACUUAGCAUACAUCAACGUUCCCUCAAUCUUUGCAACACCAACUUUAAAUAUCUAGCAUGCACUGCUCUAAUCUUAUCAAUCUCGUCAAUGGCAAACAAUAACAACCCGGUCCAGAUAUCACUGGAAUACUUCCUUCAGCAAACUCAUAAAAGUAGCAGGUGCAUUCGUCACUCCGUAUGGCCUCCCAACUUGAAAUGACCAUAACGAGUCCUGGAUUUAGUCUUAUGAACAUCCUCACUGUUAAUCUUCAACUAAUAUCAUUCAGACCUCAAGUCAAUCUCAGAAAGUACCCAGGCGCCUCAGAGCUGAUCAAAUAAUCAUCAAUACACAACAAUGGAUAACAGCUCUCAAUCGUUACCCGAUUCAAUUACCUAAUAUCAAUGCCUAGCCUUAAUGUCCAUUUUCUUCCUCACAAAUAAACCGGAGCUUUUCCAAUGUGAUAAUAUAAGUUGAAAUGGAACUUUUAACUCAACCUGAACCAAUCUCUAACAUAGGAUUUGUACCUAAAAAACAAUUCAAUAAUAAAACCCACAUCUCUCUGCCUGGCGGCAAUCUAGGUAAGGCAUCUGGGAAUACACCAAGAAAAUGUCUAACCAUCUUUACAUCUUCCAUACUAUUAGGAUCAACAUCAUUUAGCACCAUAUGAACUCAAUAUCUUGGCAGCCUUUUGAUAACAAUCUUCUUUGCUCUCUCAACAGGAAUAAUGGCAUAACUCACUCCACUUUACUUACCCCCAAAAGUAACCUCUGGUCAUCCAGGUCGACAAAAAUUAACUGAUUCCCCAUAGCAAUCUAGCUUGACACAAAUAUACAUUUCCUCUACCAGAGUCAUCUUGUCUCAGAAAUCUGGGAUCACUAGUAAAUCUAUCACUUCGCCUCUGACCAGUGGCAGUAAAACCUAAGCUGGGAAAAUUAGCUCUAAUUUCACCUCCUUUGAAGCUCUGAGUCCUCCGAGGUCUUUGAUAUGACGAAUCUUUAACUUUAUCGUCUUAUUCUGAUUCUCAUUCCUUUCUUAUUCCUCUUUACUCUCGCUGAUCAUAUUCUCAAAGUCUUCAAAGCCCAACAACAUCUCGUAAACUCUUGGUAAAAAGUACAAUGGAUAGUGGUCGCCAAAGAACGCAACUUCUUCUUAUUAUCCAGCCAAAAACGACAUAACACCUCGACCGAAUUAACAACAUCAGAAUGGAAACAAGGCAAGUCUGUAAACUUUCUAUAAUAUUCAUCCGUCGUCAUUUUCCUUGUCUCACAUUUGCAAUUUCUUGUUUACUACCAUCACAAUAUGCCGGGGGAAUGAACUUUUCUUAAACAAUUCUUUAACCAACUUCCAAACAGUUGUCCUUCCGAUAUCGUCGGAUAACAUUCCUAUCUCCAUCAAAAUGCAGAUUCAUCACUCAAAAACUAGGUAAAUCAUCUCGACCUACCUAUCGGGAGGAAAAUUCCCUUAACCUUGCAUAAUCUGAAACGCCUUUUCCCAAUUGAUUAAGCCAUCAAUCUGCUCCCUUAGGUCCUUCAUAUCCCUAAAGGGAUUCAAAUUUAACUUAUAACCAGUCUCAAAAGGUCCCUUUAGAUAAUAGACUGAAUCACAAUGGCAAUAGUUUCCCCCCAAACUACUAUAUCAGGGAAAUUAGGCUCAUCCGAACUACGUGGCUCGCUACGAGGCGGUAUAGUUCUGACAGAAGACACUAGGAAAUUAUCAAGAUGUCCAGAAUUGCAACCUAGGCUCUGAUACCAACUGACACACCCCGUCCCGAAGGAGGGCGUGCUGGCCGUCACGUGAGAGUGACGUAACCAUUUACACAGUUCGGAAGCUUUAAAAAAAUUUCCAAUUACUAAGAUAACACACCCGAGGGUGAGUCCUACUUUUGUGAAUUCUGUCAGAACACCGUUGGAUUCCUCGUGGCCACCAAAGCUCUGCUAACUUGAACCUGGAGGGGCGCAAAACAAAAUUGAGUGGGUCAGUAAAACAAAGUUUUUUCGAAAAACUUUUCAUUUAAAACAUUUCUAACCCCUCACCGUAAAACCUGUAUACUUUCCCAGAAAAUAGCAUAUAUAUAAACAUAUAUAUAAGCAAAACUCUCAAAUCUCAAACCUUUAACACUUUUCAGAAAUAUAUAUAUAUAUAUAUAUAUAUAUAUAUAUAUAUAUAUAUAACCAUAUGAAAUCUCAAAGCUUGAAUCCCAAAUCUUUAACAUUUUUCAAGAAAAACAUGCCAUGCCAUAAAUCAAAAUAUAAAUCAGGUGAAAUAAGGAAUCAAUCGGAGACCCUGCAGUUGGUCCUAUACGAUUAAUUCAAUAGCUCAAUAUCUCACUAAGCCGGAGUCACCACAGUGACCUAUACGGCCCUACUCUGCACAUCACUCGGAACUACGUAAGGUAGUCUAUACGAUGAAAGGUGUAAAAAUAUGCUCUAGUGCUUCUCUCAUCAUAUCAUCAGCGCGCAUAUCUAAGGUCACCCACCAGUCGGAACCCCUCUAAUGGUCUGUACGACUGGCAUGUCGGAACCCUUACAUGGUCUGUACGACAUCCACCUACUUGGAUCCAAGGCGAGCGUGCGGUGUGGUGAAUAAUAUAUAAGCACUAACACCUAGGGUGCAGAUUAUGAGCUCAAACAUCUCAACAACAACAAUUCAAUGAAUAAACGAACUCACCUGACUUACCUGUGCCUCCACAGCACCAUGCAACAUGUGUAUGCAUCAUAUAUCAAUCAUAUAACUCAUAUGAAAUUCACAUUUUCCAAAUAAUUCUAUGCAUGGCAUUUUCAAAACAUAAUUUCUCAUAAAAGCAUUUUUCUGGGAAAAACAAUAGUAUAUAGGUAAUACGAAAACAAAACUGCCCACUCACCUGGAGUUCGCCCACAACUCCCUAGCACCGUACAUCAAGGCGUCAUGACGAUUAGCGCCUAGAACAACAAUCAAAUCCAACCUCAGAAAUUCUGCCGAUAGAAUACAUAACUUAUAUAAGACACGUCACUACGUAGUUCGAUCCGGAUGAUCUGCAAUUCAGAUUUCAAAUCCGUAACUUCCAGAGGUCCACAAUAUACCUCUAGGACAACAUCCUAAAAUUUCAUUACCAUCCAACGGUCGGAUCUCCGUCAAUUUCCAAAACUAAGUGACGGUUAACAUUCUAUUUUAUGAACUUACAACUUCAAUUCCGGAAGAUCCGUAAAUCGGAUUCCCAAUCCGUAAGUUCCUAUAAUCCUCAAAUAUUACGUAUUACAACGUAUCAAAGUUUGAUGACGAUCCAACGGUCGGAUCGUCAAUUCACAUUUUCACCUAACCACGAAUCGUAACCAACUUAGGUUCAAUUAUUCAAUUUACGUCCAUCAAUUAUCAAAACAGAACCUAGAACCUUAAUCACAAGCUAAUAAUGACAUUGGCGGGCCAUUGGCCACGCGCCGCGCCGCGCGGCCGCCGCGCGGGUGGCGGUUGGCCGCCCCCGGCUCGCCGGAAAAUUCAACUAUUUCCAAAAAUUACCAAAAUUUUCAGAUUUGAAGAUCUCAAUGAGUAGAACAACUUUCAUACCUGAGACCAAUGCCAAUUUGGCCUGGAAGUGCUUCAAUUUCACCAAAACCGUGAAGAACCCUAGAAUUUGGGUGUUUCCAAUUCGACCUUCAAACUUGUUCCAACGCCUCAAUUACCUCUUGGGCUUUGUUCUAGGUCCUAAAGGAAUGCUAAAGGUGUUAGUAAUUGAAAGAAAACAUUUCAAAAUUUGGAGAAUUUAAACAAAAGGGUCGCGGCACCCGUAGGGGGUGUUCUUCGCGAAAUCACAACGAAAUUCAAUGAUUCUUGGGGUGAAACGUGAAGAGGGAAGGCCUAGAUGAUGAUUAGGAGUGGUACCUUGACUCAAUUCGUCGGAAAAUUGGACGAAAACGGCGAAAACCCGCCGAUUUGGAAGCUUGGGUCGCGCGGGUCAAGGGUGACCCAUUCCUCCUGUUCCCCCGUGCACCACUCUCCCUCCUUUCCCUCCUUUCCGUCCCCUGAUUGGUCAGCUUCUUCCUCUCCCUUCUUCUGGUUCACUCUCAUCUUCUUCUUCUCCGAUUGGGCAUUUCUGCCCAGUCUCUUCUUCUUUUCUGUUUUCUGUUUCUUCUUCUCAUACACAUACACACACCAAAAACCUUUCCCUCAUCC
rnacentral:lncRNA from 1 species